rnacentral:rRNA from 1 species
CCUACGGGAGGCAGCAGUGGGGAAUAUUGGACAAUGGGGGGAACCCUGAUCCAGCGACGCCGCGUGAGUGAAGAAGUAUUUCGGUAUGUAAAGCUCUAUCAGCAGGGAAGAAAAUGACGGUACCUGACUAAGAAGCCCCGGCUAACUACGUGCCAGCAGCCGCGGGAAUACGUAGGGGGCAAGCGUGAUCCGGAUUUACUGGGGGUAAAGGGAGCGUAGACGGUGCCGCAAGUCUGAUGUGAAAGGUCGGGGCCCAACCCCGGGACUGCAUUGGAAACUGUUGAACUGGAGUACCGGAGAGGUAAGCGCAUGUCCUCGUGUAGCGGUGAAAUGCGUCGAUAUUAGGAGGAACCCCAGUGGCGACGGCGGCUUACUGGACUGUACCUGACGUUGAGGCUCGCACGCGUGGGGAGCAAACAGGAUUAGAUACCCGUGUAGUC